GCCCAGGUGGCGGAAUUGGUAGACGCACGGGACUCAAAAUCCCGCGCCGCGAGGCGUGCCGGUUCGAUUCCGGCCCUGGGCA
rnacentral:tRNA from 1 species